rnacentral:lncRNA from 1 species
CUCUCUCUCUCUCUCUCUCUCUCUCUCUCUCUCUCUCUCUAUCUCUCUCUCUCUCUCUUUUGAUUCUGGUUUUGUCACCGUUUUUGGUAUAGAAAGCUGAUGGAAAGGAUUUCCCAUGAAAGUUUGAAUCUUUUUUAUGUUUGUGUUUUGAAAUCUGGGUUCCAGGGAUAAACAGAAGAUGAAGAACAUCAGGAGACGGAGAGAAGAGAGAAGAGGCG